rnacentral:rRNA from 1 species
CCUACGGGAGGCAGCAGUGAGGAAUAUUGGUCAAUGGGCGCGAGCCUGAACCAGCCAAGUAGCGUGAAGGAUGACUGCCCUACGGGUUGUAAACUUCUUUUAUAAAGGAAUAAAGUGAGGCACGUGUGCCUUUUUGUAUGUACUUUAUGAAUAAGGAUCGGCUAACUCCGUGCCAGCAGCCGCGGUAAUACGGAGGAUCCGAGCUUUAUCCGGAUUUAUUGGGUUUAAAGGGUGCGUAGGUUGUUUUAUAAGUUAGCGGUGAAAUACCGAUGCUCAACAUCGGGGCUGCCGCUGAUACUGUAGGACUAGAGAUCGGAUGCAGCAGGCGGAAUGUGUAGUGUAGCGGUGAAAUGCAUAGAUAUUACACAGAACACCGAUUGCGAAGGCAGCUUGCUAGGCCGGAUCUGACACUGAUGCACGAAAGCGUGGGGAUCGAACAGGAUUAGAUACCCUUGUAGUC